UACGUAGGGGGCGAGCGUUGUCCGGAAUGACUGGGCGUAAAGGGAGUGUAGGCGGCUGUGCAAGUUAGAUGUGAAAUCCCAUGGCUUAACCAUGGAACUGCAUCUAAAACUGCAUAGCUGGAGUGCAGGAGAGGUGAGUGGAAUUCCUAGUGUAGCGGUGGAAUGCGUAGAUAUUAGGAGGAACACCAGAGGCGAAGGCGACUCACUGGACUGUAACUGACGCUGAGGCUCGAAAGCGUGGGGAGCAAACAGG
rnacentral:rRNA from 1 species